rnacentral:rRNA from 1 species
AACGAACGCUGGCGGCAUGCCUAACACAUGCAAGUCGAACGAGACCUUCGGGUCCAGUGGCGCACGGGUGCGUCACGCGUGGGAACCUGCCCUUAGGUUCGGAAUAACUCCCCGAAAGGGGUGCUAAUACGGGAUAAUGUCUUCGGACCAAAGAUUUAUCGCCUUUGGAUGGGCCCGCGUUGGAUUAGCUAGUUGGUAGGGUAAAAGCAUACCAAGGCGACGAUCCAUAGCUGGUCUGAGAGGAUGAUCAGCCACACUGGGACUGAGACACGGCCCAGACUCCUACGGGAGGCAGCAGUGGGGAAUAUAGGAAAAUGGGCGAAAGCCUGAUCCAGCAAUGCCGCGUGAGUGAUGAAGGCCUUAGGGUUGUAAAGCUCUUUUAACCGGGAUGAUAAUGACAGUACCGGGAGAAUAAGCCCCGGCUAACUCCGUG